GACGAACGCUGGCGGCGUGCUUAACACAUGCAAGUCGAACGGAAAGGCCCUGCUUGCAGGGUACUCGAGUGGCGAACGGGUGAGUAACACGUGGGUGAUCUGCCCUGCACUUCGGGAUAAGCCUGGGAAACUGGGUCUAAUACCGGAUAGGACCAUCGUUUAGUGUCGGUGGUGGAAAGUUUUUCGGUGCAGGAUGAGCUCGCGGCCUAUCAGCUUGUUGGUGGGGUAAUGGCCUACCAAGGCGUCGACGGGUAGCCGGCCUGAGAGGGUGGACGGCCACAUUGGGACUGAGACACUGCCCAGACUCCUACGGGAGGCAGCAGUGGGGAAUAUUGGACAAUGGGCGCAAGCCUGAUGCGGCGACGCCGCGUGGGGGAUGAAGGCCUUCGGGUUGUAAACUCCUUUCAACCAUGACGAAGCGUAAGUGACGGUAGUGGUAGAAGAAGCACCGGCUAACUACGUGCCAGCCGCCGCGGUAA
rnacentral:rRNA from 1 species